rnacentral:rRNA from 1 species
GAUGAACGCUGGCGGCGUGCCUAAUACAUGCAAGUCGAGCGAACAGACGAGGAGCUUGCUCCUCUGAUGUUAGCGGCGGACGGGUGAGUAACACGUGGAUAACCUACCUAUAAGACUGGGAUAACUUCGGGAAACCGGAGCUAAUACCGGAUAACAUGUUGAACCGCAUGGUUCAACAGUGAAAGACGGUCUUGCUGUCACUUAUAGAUGGAUCCGCGCCGCAUUAGCUAGUUGGUAAGGUAACGGCUUACCAAGGCAACGAUGCGUAGCCGGCCUGAGAGGGUGAUCGGCCACACUGGAACUGAGACACGGUCCAGACUCCUACGGGAGGCAGCAGUAGGGAAUCUUCCGCAAUGGGCGAAAGCCUGACGGAGCAACGCCGCGUGAGUGAAGAAGGUCUUCGGAUCGUAAAACUCUGUUAUUAGGGAAGAACAAAUGUGUAAGUAACUAUGCACGUCUUGACGGUACCUAAUCAGAAAGCCACGGCUAACUACGUG